rnacentral:rRNA from 1 species
GAUGAACGCUGGCGGCGUGCCUAAUACAUGCAAGUCGAGCGAACAGAUGAGGAGCUUGCUCCUCUGACGUUAGCGGCGGACGGGUGAGUAACACGUGGAUAACCUACCUAUAAGACUGGGAUAACUUCGGGAAACCGGAGCUAAUACCGGAUAAUAUAUUGAACCGCAUGGUUCAAUAGUGAAAGACGGUUUUGCUGUCACUUAUAGAUGGAUCCGCGCCGCAUUAGCUAGUUGGUAAGGUAACGGCUUACCAAGGCAACGAUGCGUAGCCGACCUGAGAGGGUGAUCGGCCACACUGGAACUGAGACACGGUCCAGACUCCUACGGGAGGCAGCAGUAGGGAAUCUUCCGCAAUGGGCGAAAGCCUGACGGAGCAACGCCGCGUGAGUGAUGAAGGUCUUCGGAUCGUAAAACUCUGUUAUUAGGGAAGAACAAAUAUGUAAGUAACUAUGCACGUCUUGACGGUACCUAAUCAGAAAGCCACGGCUAACUACGU